rnacentral:rRNA from 1 species
UACGAGAGGGGCGAGCGUUAUUCGGAAUGAUUGGCGUAAAGAGCACGUAGACGGUUACACAUUUUUUUUACAGAAAUCUCAAGGCUACACUUUGAAAACUGUGAAAAAUAAUACAUACUCGAGUAAGUAAUAGGAGAAUGGAAUUCCUGGAGUAGAGGUGAAAUUUGUUGAUCUCAGGAGGAACACCGAAAGCGAAGGCAAUUCUCUGGUACUUUACUGACGUUAAAGUGCGAAAGCGUGGUAUCAAAGGG